GCUAUGGCGCACUGGAGUACCCUGUUCCUGGCAGGGAGGAACAGGAAGAGAAGAGUGUGGCCUCCUAGAAAUCUAGCACGGAGAAAGACUGGUCUUGAACUCCUGACCUCGUGAUACUCAGCCUCCCAAAGUGCUGGGAUUACAGGAGUGAACCACCAAGCCCGGCUUGACCUCUUGGCUUUUACCAAAGGAUGUUUGCUUCUGAGGAAGCUGGAAGCUGCAGCCACAAUGUGCCUUUGCAGGGGAGCCUGAGAGCCACAGGUUAACGACAUGGCCACAGAUGAUAGCCUGGCUGCACAAGCUAAACCAAGGAAUGUGAUUUGUGAUUGUUCCUAUUGCCUGCAAGUGCUAUACUCCGUGUAACCAAGAUUUUAUAAGCCGGAAGAGUUAUAAAAUACUUACCUCUGAAAAAAGUCUACUUCCUGUAAAAAUUUUUCACACAUCCCAAAUAAGGGGUAAAGUCUGUAGAAAAGAAACGUAAAAUAAUUUGCUUGUGAAAUCUGCAAACUGAGGUGGACCAAAGUCCCAGAAACCUGAGCCUAAAUUAAAGGAAAAUUAGUAUAUUACACUAUAAAAACGAUCUCUAAAAGUAACAGAAGACUCCUAAUGGACC
rnacentral:lncRNA from 10 species